UACGUAGGGUGCAAGCGUUUGUCCGGAAUUAUUGGGCGUAAAGAGCUCGUAGGCGGCUUGUCGCGUCGACUGUGAAAACCCGUGGCUCAACCAUGUGGUCUGCAGUCGAUACGGGCAGGCUAGAAUUCGGUAGGGGAGACUGGAAUUCCUGGUGUAGCGGUGAAAUGCGCAGAUAUCAGGAGGAACACCGGUGGCGAAGGCGGGUCUCUGGGCCGAUAUUGACGCUGAGGAGCGAAAGCGUGGGGAGCGAACAGG
rnacentral:rRNA from 1 species